CUACGUGCCAGCAGCCGCGGUAAUACGUAGGGGGCAAGCGUUAUCCGGAUUUAUUGGGUUUAAAGGGAGCGUAGGCGGAUUGUUAAGUCAGCGGUUAAAGGGUGUGGCUCAACCAUGCAUUGCCGUUGAAACUGGCGAUCUUGAGUGCAGACAAGGAUGCCGGAAUUCGUGGUGUAGCGGUGAAAUGCUUAGAUAUCACGAAGAACUCCGAUCGCGAAGGCAGGUGUCCGGGCUGCAACUGACGCUGAGGCUCGAAAGUGUGGGUAUCAAACAGGAUUAGAUACCCUGGUAGUCCACACAGUAAACGAUGUAUACUCGCGGUUUGCGAUAGACAGUAAGCCGCCAAGCGAAAGCAUUAAGUAUACCACCUGGGGAGUACGCCGGCAACGGUGAAACUCAAAGGAAUUGACGGGGGCCCGCACAAGCGGAGGAACAUGUGGUUUAAUUCGAUGAUACGCGAGGAACCUUACCCGGGCUUGAAC
rnacentral:rRNA from 1 species